rnacentral:piRNA from 1 species
UACUCUGUGAGAAUACUACUCCCCCCCAC